UGACCCCUCUAGAGAUAGAGUUUUUCCCCUUCGGGGGACAGAGUGACAGGUGGUGCAUGGUUGUCGUCAGCUCGUGUCGUGAGAUGUUGGGUUAAGUCCCGCAACGAGCGCAACCCUUAAGCUUAGUUGCCAUCAUUAAGUUGGGCACUCUAAGUUGACUGCCGGUGACAAACCGGAGGAAGGUGGGGAUGACGUCAAAUCAUCAUGCCCCUUAUGAUUUGGGCUACACACGUGYUACAAUGGACAAUACAAAGGGUAGCGAAACCGCGAGGUCAAGCAAAUCCCAUAAAGUUGUUCUCAGUUCGGAUUGUAGUCUGCAACUCGACUAUAUGAAGCUGGAAUCGCUAGUAAUCGUAGAUCAGCAUGCUACGGUGAAUACGUUCCC
rnacentral:rRNA from 1 species